rnacentral:tRNA from 1 species
GGACCGUUAGCUCAAUUGGUAAGAGCAUCUGGCUCAUAACCAGCAGGUUAUAGGUUCGAGUCCUAUACGGUCUA